rnacentral:tRNA from 1 species
GCCCUCGGUGGCUCAGAUGGAUAGGGCAUCUGCCAUGUAAGCAGGAGAUCCUGGGUUCGAGUCCCGGUCGGGGCA